rnacentral:rRNA from 1 species
GAUCAUGGCUCAGGACGAACGCUGGCGGCGUGCCUAACACAUGCAAGUCGAACGAGGUCCAUCCUUCGGGAGAAGACCUAGUGGCGAACGGGUGAGUAACACGUGAGGAACCUGCCCCGAAGACCGGGAUAACCCUCCGAAAGGAGAGCUAAUACCGGAUACCCCCACCGAACCGCAUGGUUUGGUGAGGAAAUGGAUUCCGCUUCGGGAGGGCCUCGCGGCCUAUCAGCUAGUUGGUGGGGUAACGGCCCACCAAGGCAUCGACGGGUAGCUGGUCUGAGAGGACGAUCAGCCACACUGGGACUGAGACACGGCCCAGACUCCUACGGGAGGCAGCAGUGGGGAAUCUUGCGCAAUGGGCGAAAGCCUGACGCAGCAACGCCGCGUGGGGAUGAAGGCUCUCGGGUUGUAAACCCCUUUCAGCAGGGACGAAUCAAGACGGUACUUGCAGAAGAAGCCCCGGCUAACUACGUG